AUUGAACGCUGGCGGCCGGCCUAACACAUGCAAGUCGAGCGAGCGGCGGACGGGUGCGUCAUGUAUGGGGACUGCCCGAUAGAGGGGGAUAACUACUGGAAACGGUUGCUAAUACCGCAUACUCUCGUAUAACCCAUAUGGGAUUAGCUAGUAGGUGGGGUAAAGUCUCACCUAGGCGACGAUCUCUAGAUGGUCUGAGAGGAUGAUCAGCCACACGGGGACUGAGACACGGCCCAGACUCCUACGGAGGCAGCAGUGGGGAAUAUUGAACAAUGGGCGCAAGCCGGAUGCAGCCAUGCCGCGUGUAUGAAGAAGGCCUUAGGGGUGUAAAGUACUUUCAGCGGGGAGGCGUUACCCGCAGAAGAAGCACCGGCUAACUCCGUGCCAGCAGCCGCGGUAAUUC
rnacentral:rRNA from 1 species